rnacentral:tRNA from 1 species
GCCUUCGUAGCAUAGUGGUUAAUGCGGCUGAUUCGUAAUCAGCAGAUCGCAGGUUCAAAUCCUGCCGAAGGCU